GAUGAACGCUAGCGACAGGCUUAACACAUGCAAGUCGAGGGGCAGCGGGGGAGGAAGCUUGCUUUCUCCUGCCGGCGACCGGCGCACGGGUGAGUAACACGUAUGCAACCUGGCCGUCACAGGUGGAUAACCGGAAGAAAUUCCGACUAAUACAGCAUAACACUCCUGAGGGACAUCCUUCGGGAGUCAAAGGAGGUAACUCCGGUGACGGAUGGGCAUGCGGCGCAUUAGGUAGUUGGUAGGGUAACGGCCUACCAAGCCGACGAUGCGUAGGGGUUCUGAGAGGAAGGUCCCCCACACUGGUACUGAGACACGGACCAG
rnacentral:rRNA from 1 species